CCAACCUUAGUGAAGAUAAAGCGGUACAGAAAAUGGAUGGAUGGAUGACUCAAAAGGACUCGAAACUCAAAGUGUAGGACUUGCGACUUGACUCGGGUCUUGAUUGUCUCGACUUGGGACUUGACUUUGGACUUGCCUAAAAAGAUUUGCCAAAACAGUGGGUGUCAGAAGUGGGACCGCAGGAUUGAUCGACGAUUCAGGGGACCCCGGGAGUGAUUGAUCAUCCAGGACCAACGCAGGAGUCCUGCCUCCACCCAAAGAAUUAAGGACGCGGGGGUGGGGGUGGCUGCCGGUGCUCUGGAUGUCGGUUAUCACCUCAGGAUCCAAACGGAGUUUUUGACCUCCAAACAAAGAAUUACAUGCUCCUUCAGUGCUCCCCGUCUUGCUGAUCUCUCCAACCACGCCAUCAAGCUCUUCCACCUGCUCACGCCGCCGCUUCCCCGCACGUUCCCUGUCUCGACGGUCCACCAUUGCACCUCAGAGGUCCAACACCGAAUCCAAUCUCAAUAAACCAUUCUCCACAAACUU